rnacentral:lncRNA from 1 species
GGGGGAGGCUCGGCCUGUCUGCUUAGGAGUCUCUGGAGGGAGAGGCGGGGGGCGAGAGAGGAUGAGGAUGAGGAUGAGGAUGAAUACGAAUGAGCGACCUAUGUUUAUGACUGAAAACAGCUACAGCUCCCAGAAAAAUCUUUCCAUGGUAACUUUGAAAUUGUAGUAGGGACACAUAAUAACCUCAGGAUUUGGGUCAAUAAAAAGGCCAAAAGCAUUCAUUGUUUAGUUUCCACUUCUGUCCAUUAUCACAGAGAAGGGGAAAAUGAAUGGAAUCAGAAGCCUUUGUUGUUGACCCAGUCUUUUAAGACAUCAAGCCAUCAAGGAUCAGCAUUUCUUUUAUACGCAAUAAAUGGAACCACCAUGAGAUUUAUGAUGAAUGAAAAUAGGGGACAAUGGACCCUGGCAUGUAAAUAAUUUAGCAUAUUUUAGACGAUGGUGCAGAAGAUUUCAGGCAUCAACCCCUCCAAAAGCUGUAGGAGGCAGCUGAAGAAGGUAAAGACAUGAUCAAGUCUAUCUACAACUUCCAAAAAUUAUCACACCCUCUUCAUCUCUGGAGAUUGUGAUGGAUGAUGAUAAUAAACAUGAUGACUCUUCCUUCUCUCCACAUUUCAUAUGUUUACCUAAAUAUACAUUUUUUUUAGUCAUCAUUUUAUUUACUUACUGAGGAAGCAUGAAAUGUGCAGCUAACUGGAUCCUUGCCAGGCACCAGACACCAGUCUAAGUGCUUUAUGAGUAUUCACUUACUUAAUCCUCGCAAGAGCCUAGGAGAUUGGUGUACCAUCUUGAGCAUCUCCAGCAAAAAGAUGUGGAAAUGGGAACAGGGAGUCUCAUGGCUACUGACCAGAUGAACAGCAAGGCAAAGCCAGUUCAGCAUUUUGUUUGAAUGGCCGCUCAGUUGGAGCAAAAAUCAAGUUUACACUGAAACAAAAUUGGAGACACGCGUGUGGAGAGUUUGAAGCAUGGCUGUGAAGGCUUCAGUACAUCUGUGUGCUGCCCAACGCCUGUGGAGUUAGAAGUGAUUCGUGUUAUGCAUAGCAGUGAAUGUGCCAGAAUGUUUGGGGCAAGGGGAGAGGUGGCAGUUAUCAUUUCAAUAUUCCUUUUCUCCCUGAGGAGAGAGACACUUCCUGCUACUGUAAGCACUUUACAUCACAGCAUUUAAAAGUGAUCCCCCAAGGCCUGUUUUAUUGGGAGGUGAAGUGAGAAAGAAGUGGGAGAUGGAUAUAUGGUAUGGGAGUUUUGAAGGCCACUGCAAAGCCUGAAGGAUGCACGAAUUAUGAAAGAGAAAGAAUAAGGAAAUUCUUUUGUAUAUUUUGCUUCAAGAAAUGUUGGUAAUAACCAGUUUUAAAAUGUGAAUGGGAUAACCAAGCAACAUCUUUUUAAUUUGUUUGGGUAAAAAAAUAAGCCUCAAUUAAUAUUUAUCUAUCAUAACUCUUCAGCGGUCGAACAACACUGAUUGUGUUGUUGCUAUUAUCAUAAUUAGUAUUGCAGUGCAUUUAGAGUUUUUCUAAUGUCAUGCGCUGAGCAGCCCCAACUGACACCGACAAAUUCAAGCUUUUCUCACCAUUUAAUCUACUGCUGAGUAUUGGCAACUAUUGUUGACUUCUAUGCAACAAACAUUGCUGUGUGCCUCUUAUGUCAGAGUCCUCAAAUUGGAGACAAACACUUCCUUCCUACUAUUAACAUUUGCUCCCCUGCCCUCUGUUUUUCUCAAGGUUCUAGAAGAUCAGAUCAGAAUUUUCUGCACAGUGACUUAGCUAGACCCCCAACAAUUGACAGUAACAAAGGAAGAGGAAAGGUAGCAUAACUCUAAGUAAAAAGAAAACAUUAAUACUGAGUCUUAGUUGAAUCCUGACACCACCACCAUGUUUCUGUACAUAUGUGUAUUGAUACAUCUAUCAAUCUGCCUAUAUAUCUUGGAUUGCAUUAAGUGUUCCAAAUUAAAGAGAACACUUUUAUUUUUUUCUCCCAGUUUUAAGCCCAUUGCAGUACCGUAUAUGGAGAGAAUACGUCUCUAAAAUAAUGAACCCUUAGAGUCUCCUCAACUCUGUCUGUUUUAAGGAUCAGUCUCAUAUUAUUGUAUAAUGCUUAUGUAUGAUGGUAACACUGAGGAAAAUAUAUGAGAUCUCUCUGAUUUACUUUGGCACCUUUUUGUAAGCUAAGACUAUUCCAAAAUAAAUCAUUAAAAACAAGAAACAAUCACAUAAAAUGUGUUACACAUGUAAAGCAGGCAUAUAGAGUACUGAACAAGUUGUCCGUCAGAAAUAUAAAACCUAACAUAAAGUACAUUGUCUCAUGCUAAUGUAGAGCGAAUUCUUUUUUAGAAAUAUAUGAAUGAUGGUUUUUUUAUUUGUCCAUGGUAAUUUAAUAUGCAUAUAAAAUCCCUCAAAAUUAUACCAGUGCACAUAAAUAUAUAUUUGUGUUAUUUUUUAAAUCAGUGAUACAAGCUUACAAUUCACAUUGAACCAGCUUUUGCUUUUUCCCAUGCAUUUUUAUUUAAGAAAUCUAGACAUUUUUAAACAAUAAAGAUAGUACAAUCAGAUAGUUUGCCUUUAUUUUCUGAAUGGCAAAAUAAGAAAAUAUAAUAGGUAGAGAGCAAAAAUGAAUAGUCAUUAGUAAGAUCGCUGUGAUAUUCUGAGGCAGUCUUGAAAAUUAGGAAUGGCAUUCAAGGCCAAUUAGCAUAGAUUCCGUCUGCAUUCACUAGGUCCCAAAUGUGCCCUCAGUAAGGCCAUGGUCUCAUGUAAAGAGAUGCAAAUCACCACGGAAGAAAAAACCUAAAAUAAAAAAAAAAAAAAA